rnacentral:rRNA from 1 species
AACGAGAAGAACCUUACCUACUCUUGACAUCCAGAGAACUUAGCAGAGAUGCUUUGGUGCCUUCGGGAACUCUGAGACAGGUGCUGCAUGGCUGUCGUCAGCUCGUGUUGUGAAAUGUUGGGUUAAGUCCCGCAACGAGCGCAACCCUUAUCCUUUGUUGCCAGCGGUCMGGCCGGGAACUCAAAGGAGACUGCCAGUGAUAAACUGGAGGAAGGUGGGGAUGACGUCAAGUCAUCAUGGCCCUUACGAGUAGGGCUACACACGUGCUACAAUGGCGCAUACAAAGAGAAGCGACCUCGCGAGAGCAAGCGGACCUCAUAAAGUGCGUCGUAGUCCGGAUUGGAGUCUGCAACUCGACUCCAU